CGGCGGACGGGUGAGUAAUGCCUAGGAAUCUGCUGGUAGGUGGGGAUAACGUCCGGAAACGGGCGCUAAUACCGCAUACGUCCUGAGGGAGAAAGUGGGGGAUCUUCGGACCUCACGCUAUCAGAUGAGCCUAGGUCGGAUUAGCUAGUUGGUGGGGUAAAGGCCUACCAAGGCGACGAUCCGUAACUGGUCUGAGAGGAUGAUCAGUCACACUGGAACUGAGACACGGUCCAG
rnacentral:rRNA from 1 species